AUUGAACGCUGGCGGCAGGCCUAACACAUGCAAGUCGAACGAGUGGCGGACGGGUGAGUAAUGGCUGGGAAACUGCCUGAUGGAGGGGGCUAACUACUGGAAACGGUAGCUAAUACCGCAUACCAUCAGAUGUGCCCAGAUGGGAUUAGCUAGUUGGUGGGGUAACGGCGCACCAAGGCGACGAUCCCUAGACGGGCUGAGAGGAUGACCAGCAACACUGGAACUGAGACACGGUCCAGACUCCUACGGGAGGCAGCAGUGGGGAAUAUUGCACAAUGGGCGCAAGCCUGAUGCAGCCAUGCCGCGUGUAUGAAGAAGGUUUUCGGGUUGUAAAGUACUUUCAGCGGGGAGGCGUUACCCGCAGAAGAAGCACCGGCUAACUCCGUGCCAGAAGCCGCGGUAAUUC
rnacentral:rRNA from 1 species